AGCGAACGUUAGCGGCGCGCCUAACACAUGCAAGUCGUGCGAGAAAGCUCUUCGGAGCCUGUAAAGCGGCGCACGGGUGCGUAACACGUAGGUAAUCUCGCCUCAGGUGGGGGAUAACUUUCCGAAAGGAAAACUAAUACCGCAUAAGACCACGAGCACUUCGGUGCUUGAGGGAAAAGCCGGCCUCUUCAUGAAAGCUGGCGCCAGAGGAUGAGCCUGCGGCCCAUCAGCUAGUUGGUAGGGUAACGGCCUACCAAGGCUAAGAAGGGUAGCUGGUCUGAAAGGAUGAUCGGCCACACUGGCACUGGAACACGGGCCAGACUCCUACGGGAGGCAGCAGUGGGGAAUCUUGGACAAUGGGCGAAAGCCUGAUCCAGCGACGCCGCGUGAGUGAUGAAGGCCUUCGGGUUGUAAAGCUCUGUGGAGAGGGACGAAAAAAGUUGGGAAUAACACCCCCGCUCUUGACGGUACCUCUUUAGCAAGCACCGGCUAACUCUGUGCCAGCAGCCGCAGUAA
rnacentral:rRNA from 1 species